ACCUGCAAUAGGGGGCGAGAGCCACCAAGGAACAUUUUUCUCUGUGAUUAUUGACACCUGUAGAAGAUCAGCAUAACAAUAUGUAAAUGAAUAUGUAAAAUGUUCCCUUUACAGCUACUUAUAGAGAAAUAUCAGCCACGGUCACUGUGGGCAGCUUCAUCCUAUGUGGAAUGUGCAGUAGAGCUCACUCAGGACACCUCAGUGAUGUUAAAGCCUGGAGAUUCUUUAAUCCUCAGCUGUAAAGUAUCCGGUUACUCAGUUACUGAUAACAGCUACGCCACAGCUUGGAUUCGACAUCCUGCAGGGAAAUCUCUGGAAUGGAUAAAUUACAUUUGGGGGGGUGGAAGCACGUAUCAUAAAGAGUCUCUAAAAAGCAAGUUCAGUAUUUCUAAAGAUGCCUCCAGCAGCACGGUGACACUGAGAGGACAGAACAUGCAGACUGAAGACACAGCUGUGUAUUACUGCGCUCGUAAUGCACACAGUGACACAACAAGCUGCAGUGCUGCA